ensembl:lncRNA
GUCGGAUGUGACUGAAGCGACAGGCAGCCGUGGCCUCCAGAGCCUGGCGGGCAGGACGCAGGACCUGACCUCUCCAGGAGCAGCAUCUCCUGUGAUGAGACCUUAGUGGGGAUGCAGGCAGGACGUGUGGGGUGACUGCACGGCGAGGCUCUGGUCUGGUGUGAACCCAGGGCAGGAAAGACUCCCCUGUGGAUUGCAGAGAGACCCUGGACCCCUUGCUGAAGCCGCGCCUCUCCCACUACGGUCUCCCCAUCAGGACGGUAUAAGGUGGGGGGCAGAGGGUGCCUGCUGGAGCCAAAGACGGAGCCCUCGAUGAUGGCUCCGGGAGGCCAGGAUGGGUCUGCCGUCUGUGCAGGAAGUAGGAGAUGGGCGCACCUGGAUGGGCAGGAUUUACAAGUAGGGGGACGUCUCAAGCCCACCUGGAAGGAGGAAUACUAAGUAUCUGUACACACAGUCGCCCCCAGGAAGGAUCCGGUGAGCAGGAAUUUGUUGUUGUCGUUCAGUCGCUCGGUCGUGUCCAACUGUCUUUGACCCCAUGGACUGCAGCACACCAGGCCUCCCUGUCCAUCACCAAUUCCCAGAGCUCUCUCAGACUCACGUCCAUCGAGUCAGCGAUGCCAUCCAACCGUCUCCAUCUGCGUACGUUUGCCUAACACCUUUUCUUGCCCCCGAGUGUAAAAUCCAAUCUGGAAAUCCUGGCCAGAGCCUCCCUGGAGGGAAACUUGAAGUUUAGAAGGAAAUCGUGGGUGGACAGACGUGCCCUCCUCCUGGCUUUGCUGCGAUGGUUUUCAAACUGCAGGUCGCCACUGCUGACACGGUCCUGAGUUUGACUGGGUGGAUGCGAUGGGCAUCCUUAAGAAAUCCGGUGGGUUAUAAUAUGGCAGAAGGCGCUGCCUGCAGUGAGCAGCCACCUUGUGAGGAAACUCUAAUGUGUGUGUGUGUGUGAUUGUGUGCGCAUGCACACACAUGCUGGCUGGUGAAGCAGAUUAUAUGUCAAACAGGCUAAAGGCUUACAUGGUAAAGAAUCUCCCUUCCAAUGCAAGAGACCAGGGUUCAAUCUCUGGGUUGGGAAGAUCCCCUGGAGAAGGGAAUGGCAACCCACUCCAGUGCUUGUCUGGAGAACCCCACGGACAGAGGAGCCUGCCAGACUUCAGUCUAUGGGGUCACAAAGAGUCAGGCACGGCUGACCGGCUAACACGUUCACUUUUUCACCCCCUGGAUGGGGGCGUUGAAAGAUGCUGAAAUGACUAGCUGAGGAGUUUAGAUGCAAAGUUAAGAAAAAAAAAAAAAAAAAACUUUUUUUUUUUACUCUUAUUGAGCUAUAGUUGAUUUACAAUAUCAUGUUCCUUUCUGCUAUAGAGGAAAAUGAUGCAGUUAUAUGUCUAUAUAGCUCUUCAUAUUCCUUCCAUGAUGGUUGGCCACAGGGUACUAAAUAUAGCUUCCUUUCCUCUGCAGUAGAACCUUGUUUAUGAAUCCUAAAUUUAUUAGUCUGGGCUUCUACUAGUGGAGAAUCCACCCGCCAAUGCAUGGUACGUAAGAGAUGUGGAUUCCAUCCCUGGGUUGGGAAGAUUCCCCUGGAGGAGGGCAUGGCAACCCACCCCAGUAUUCUUGCCUGGAGAAUCCCAAAGACAGAGGAGCCUGGCGGACUACAGUCCAUGAGGUCACAAAGAGUCAGACACGACUAAAGCGACUUAGCACGCGUGCAUAUAUUAAUUUGCAUGUACGAACCCCAAAUCCCCACUACAUCCCUCCAAAGGUUCUUGACAAGCAAAGUGAUGAGUGGACAUCCUUUAAGCGACAGGCGCGUCCCCUGGGUGGGUUCUCACUGGAGCUGGCAGUAGCAUUUGGGAAGUCAGGGGCGAGGACAGCCCCAGGGGCUUGGGGCAGGUGGCCGAGACCAGGAAGGGUCCCCCCGACCCUGUGAUGCAGGGCUCCCAGGUGACUAACAGAAUGAAGCAUCCAAGUCUCUCCUUCCUCGUCGUCUGGCUUCACGUGUCUGAGCAAAGCAUUUGGCUGUGGUCCAACCAGAGACGCCGUGGAUGUCCUGGCAAGCUGCUCUGUGUCUACAUGGGCUUAUGGAACAGGGAGCUCACCUGAACGCGCCCCCUCUCUCCCCCGACCACGUCUAUCUCCUGCGGACGGUGAUGGAUCUGGGGGCCCCGUCUCCCGGAGCUGCAUGUGAAGUCACAAGUGUUCAAAAGCCCUGAAGCUUGGUCACGGGUCCCGUUCCUGGAUCCCAGAAUUCUUGCUCAGAAAAGCCGAUCUGAAAAACCGUCCGUUUGCUGUCUGGGUCUGUGGCAGCUGGUUGAGCGUGGUUUUCAGUGUGUGUGUGUCUUUGGGUGAUGUUGAAGUUCGCGUAAGUAUCCUUCUUGGUAGGUUCCUGUGAUUAUAGGUUGAGCCCACGUGUUAGUCUAUGAGCAAACAGAAUUGCUCAUUUGGGGGGGCCAAAAAAAAAGAUAAAGCAAAGGAUAAAAAGCGAGAAGAGCCAACGAACUAAAACGGGAAGUUUCCAGAGUAGCAAGGUGUCGCCUUAGGACCCGGCUGGCAUUUCGUCUUUUCAGUGGGUGGUUUCUUGCUUUGCUCUCUCAGCUUUCUUAUGGUUGUGGCUGUUCGGUCGCUCAGUCGUGUCUGACCCUUGGCAACCCCG